CUUCGGGGAGCUUUUACCCAUGCAGAAGGCCAAGCGAGAGCUUGCACAUCACAUGGCAAAAGCAGGAGCAAGAGUCAAGGGGCAGGUACCACACACACUUAAACAACCAGAUCUUGCAAUAACUCAUUCACUGCUGUGAGGAUAGCACCAAACCAUGGGGGAUUUGCCCACAUGACCCGCCACCUCCCACAAAGGGCCACCUCCAAUAUUGGGGGAUGACAUUUCAACAUGAGAUUUGGGGAGAUAAAUAUCCAAACCGUAUCAGAUAUUAGAAGUCAAACAAUACAGAGUUCAAUAAAAUAGAAGUAAAAUUUGACUUUCUCUCCUGAGAUUGAGUUCAUGUAAGGUCCAAUGCCCACUGCUCAAAAAACAUGAGCUACUAGAUUACAUGUAACAGAGAUAUUGAAAUAAGGUGUGGUAAACAGCAACAGUGCCCUAUUGAAAAUAAAGUGUCCACAUUCUUCAAGGACCACAUCAAAGAAAAUCUUACUCUUAACAUGAGACUGGAUAUUUGUCCUCACAUGGGAGACAGACCAAAUAGAUUAGAAUGCUAUUGCCCAAGAGAGAUAUAAGAGGAGUAAUGGGGAAGGCCAUAGGGUCUUUGUUUAGGGUUAGCAGCAUUUGCAAACUGAGAAAAUUGCUUGUGAU
rnacentral:lncRNA from 1 species